AUAAAACAGUAGUUUUAAACAGUGUCUUUUUGCCAUUGUAGUAUUUUUUAUUUGUAAUUAUUAUUCUCAUCAACCAUGCAAGAUUAUUAACGGAAUAAUAAUUUUGUGUAGUGGGGUGUAUGCUUAUUUUAAUGGAUAUUUAACCUCUUCAAAACGUUAUUCCUACAUUUAAGUUGUCCUUAUUUAUACAGAAAAAUCUUCUGGAGACUCAAGGAUUCUGUUUUGUUUUCAGUCACUUUAUCACCAACCUCAUAGAGCACUUUAUUUCAUCUCCUUGUUUCAAAUAGUUUUUUUUUUAAAUGAUACAGUAUCUCUUGGAGCAACUGGAUGGCGGUAUGCAUAACUCGACCAAGCGCCAAAACAUAGUUUUGAGAUAAACGGCUUCAAAGUUUUUCGUUUCUUGGUUGCUUAAUGGUCACUUAAUGGUAAGUGGAUUAAUGUCGCUUAGUUUAAUUUUGUUUUUCGUAGUAACCGUUAACGUGACAAUAACAGGGAUUUUUUCCAAGAUAGUUUUAGCUAUGUGUCACCAGAAUCCGCUGUUAUCUCGAUAUUAAAGAAAUGGCGCUUGGUCGAGUUAUGCAUAACGCCAUCCAACUACAACUUCUGAUCUACUUACUUACAUUAAAAACCUUAUCUGACUCUAAAGUCUAUCUUUAUGAUAGAGAGAGUAUUAUAGAAUCGGAGGUACCAGUUAACACGUUCCGUGUGGAUGGCAUACAUGUGAGCCACAUGAUGCCUUCACCAAUGUGCAGAUUGCACGCAUAUAAUGCCAUUGAUUCAGAGUAUAAGUCUUAUAUAAGAGUAUAUUCAGUAUAAGAGUAUAAGUCUUAGGAUCAGACAUCUGCAAGCAAUAUGUUAAAAUUAUGCUAUAAUACUCUCUCGAUCAUAAAGAUAAACUAUAAUUUACUCUAUUGUAAUGUGGAUCAGACAGUAGCAUUAUCCUACAAAGGAGCUCUUCAACCCUUGCUUCUUAACCAGGCCUUGGUUGCUAUAUGAGAUUUUCUCUCACAGUUUCAGAAUAUUGCACACAACUUUUUCCCUGGUAAAUUACACAUAUUGUAGAUCCUUCUAGUCUCCUAAUUACCUUCCUCUACAAUCGAAUAGACUCGUCUGCUCAGAUGGUGGUUCAGUUGACUUAGUAUGACCCGAUUGUUAAGUCAGUACGCUUCAUGUAAGAUAUUCUCACAUCGCACGACCACCGCAUAUAAUAUUAUUAAUAUAUUAAUUGUAUAUUGUAUAUUGUAGCAUUAUUUUAUUUUGUAAUAGUUAAUUUUAGAAGUUGCCCUAUUACAGGACAAUAAAAUAAAGGUAUCACAUAGUACAAAUUUGAAAUUUGUAUUGAAAUAUUAAAAUUAACAAUAUUUCUACAUUUUUAGAUUAAAGUGUAAAAGCACAUCAACAGUCACAUUGUGAUAAGCUAAUAAUAACUUUAUUACGUUUAAAACCUAUUUUGAAAAUUUUAUUUCGUAAAAAAAGACAAAAGUUGUAUAUACUAUAUACUUCAUCUAAUUUACUAACCGUUGCACGUCAUCCGCGUCAUAGCCUGUGACGUCGCAUGAUACCAACACGAAAUAUUUAGGCGGUAGGUGUGUUCUUUUUUAGAAUCACGUUGCCGAAUACACUGGAAUUACAGCCACUAGACAUAUUUUAUUAUAUACGCCUAGAAAUAAUAUUUGAAGAAUUCUAUUAAUGUUAACCCGAGUGUUAACCUAAAGAAAUACACAAUAAUAUGUUUCAUUUAAUUUGUAUAAAUGGAUUAAAAAGCGUUUUUAUGAAGCACAUUUACUCGAAUCACACUGUAACUGUAAUCGAACGAAGGUGACAUUUUAGAAUAAAUUGGUAACAUUUAUUUGACAGUUGCGGUGAUGACACUUCAUAUUUGUUUAUAUUCUUUACUAUAAGUAUCUGUUUUAUUAUAUUUACUGUUUUAAUUAUUUACUUUAUUAUAAAAACAUUCUCUAGGUACUAUAAAAAUAUAAAUUUCACCUAAUUUUAUCACGACUUAAAAUAAUCGAGGUAUCUGACAACUUUUUUAGUUGUUAUUGUAGACAUAGAUAUACAAAGAAACCUACCGGCAUCAUGCCAAGAGUUCGGAGCCGUUUUUUAAUUAUUAACAACGCAGUGCAAAAACGCUUGCACUGCAAAUCUUAAAAGAUUAUAACUUAAUUAUUGUUCUCUAUUUCUUAAGUUUUUACUUAUUUACAUUGAAUAUUAAUUUGUUUUGUUGUAUAAUCCACGUUUACAAUAAUUGUGUGAUCUAUUUGAUUAAAAAUUAAUUCAGGAUUUUUUUUAUACUUUGGCAACUAUGUCAACUUAGAUCUCUGGCGUAGAUAAUGACGUGCAACGGUAAGUAAAUUAGAUGGACUGUAUGUGAGACAAAAUCUGAUUUAGGAGACUGAUUUAAUUGAAUUUUGUUUAAUUUUAAUUUUGGUUUGUAUUUUUUAACGCAACCUAUGCUUUGUAAAGGUUGACAUUUACUUUUGUAAAAAUGGUAUAUCCCUAAAAUAAAUAAAUAAAAUCUCACAUGCGACCACUCACGUUAAAGCCACCUAGCGACCAAUGCCAGGUUAAUAACAGCCAGAUCACUACCAUUGAUUCUGUAAAAUUUCUUGGUAUUUUUUUAGAUAGCAACCUUAAAUAGUCCCUUCAUAUCGAUUUGUUAAGUAAGAAAUUAGCCUCAUCUUGCUAUACAAUAAGAUCUGUUUCGAAGGAAAUCAAUCUAGCAUCUUCCAAAAUAACAAUUUUCCUUUGUUUGAGUCUCAUCUUCGACAUGGUCUUUCUUUUUGGGGUUCUAGUACAGCUGCCCAAUCCAAUGUUAUUUUUAAAUUACAAAAAAGAGCAAUACAGUAUCUGUUUGGCGGUAGAAGAACAACACAUUACAGAAGCUACUUCAAAGAUCACGGAAUUUUAACACUUCCCUCUUUAUAUAUUUUAGAUUCUGUUUGCUUAAUUCGUAAACACCUUAGGGAGCGUUCAAGUAUUACGUAACGCGAUUUUUGAAGAUUUUUGACCCCCCCCUCCCCCCUACAUAACGCACUCUAAUGGGCGUUUAACUAUUGCGUAACGCAAUUUUUGAAGAUUUCCCCCCCCCCCCCCCGCCCUCCUGCGUUACGUAAUACUUGAACGGUCCCUUACAUGUUUUUCCAGUAAGACCCAAUCAUGACUACUCCACCAGAAAUUCAACCUUUGAUAAGUUAGUAAAAAAAUCUGUAUUAUAUUCUGCAAAAAAUACAACCAGCUCCUUUUACAACUUAAAUCUGCAACAUCUUUCCCCAAGUUCCGUAAAAUGACAAAAUCCUAUCUACCUGAUAGACCAUAUUCUACUGAUAUUCAGCAUAUACAGCAGCUUAAACAACCUAUUAGUUACUUAGGAACUUAUUAGUUCCUAACAUUAUUUCUUGCAAUUUAUUUAAAUUUUGCUAUAUAUUGUUUUUAUUGUUUUGUUUUAUUUCAUUAUCUUUCAUUCUGUAAUAUUGACGAUUUAUGUAAUUUCCGUAAAUUGUAAUUGUUAUGUUACUGUUAUUUUCUGACUCUCUCUAAGCUUUGUCCAUAAAAUUGUACAAUUUUGAGUUACAAUAAAGCAUAUUUCUAUUCUAUUCUAUAAACUUUACAUUGAUAUUACUGCAGUAUACCAAUCUUUUAACUCCAAAUUCAGGCAACAUGCAUCCAGUGGCAGCUUUUGGGGGUAGGCAGGAUAGGCCGGGCCUACCCAAUAAUUUUAAGAGGUUUAAAAUUGAAAAAGAUAUAAAUAUUUAAAAAUUAUAUUAAAGCAUGUAAAUAACUUUUAAAUGUACUAAAUCACUCAAUACAUCAGCGUCCGUUAAGACAACUUUGUUAUAUUAUCACAGAAAGUAUCGAAUUGUAUUCAGGCAUUUUAAAUAUCAUUAAUGGGCCCGCUCGGACGUGGCCGACCUCGCUCACAUAGGAUCUCCGUACAAAAAGCAUUUGAAGUUAAGCAGCUUGCCGGAGAAUGAUUUUUAUAUUGCAGUGUUAUGCUUGGUGCAUAGGCCCGAUUGAAACGGGCCUUCGCCAAGCCUCGUUGCCACUUCCCUAACAACACACAACAUUCCAGGAAUGUACUACCAAAGUUCUAUCAAUAUUUGAAUGUCCUGGACAUUUAGGGAACAUUCGGUGAACAUCUGUUUAAAUUAUUCCUGGAAUGUUACCAUAAGACAUUCUGUGAACAUACUACUAAUGUUCCUAUAUUUUAAGUUGCGAAAUAAUACAUACGUGUAAGAGAUACAACAUUACUUAUAACAUACCAGACAAACUAAGUGACAUUUUAGGCCUACAGUGCAAUAAUAUGUCAAAUUUAAAGAGUUUCCCAAGAUUAUAAACAUACAAAUGUAAUAAAAAUUAUUGUUCGCGAAUAUUCAAUUUGGAAUGCGAUUUUGUUAAUAAAAAAAAUACUUAUAACUUAUGCAAAACCCAAGAGAGGCAUUUAUAUUUAUUUCUUUUGCGUUCAUUUUCAAAUUCGCCGUGCAUAUAUUUUUGUGCAUGGCGCUUGAGAGGGCAUCACGUGACUAAAAACGACCAACCAACGACCUCGCUUCGGCCAUCUUGGCAUCUUCAUCUUGGCGACCUUGCCUUGCCGUGGAUUGUUUUUAGUUGUUUGUAUUAUUUGUGCUUUUUAAGAAUAUUUUUUUAAUUCGGAUACUUUUAUAAUAGCUUUAAUAGUAUUAUUAACAUAGUGCAUAAAAUGGUGUCCUGUUUUUAACGCAGUUGGAGUAGCAGAAACAAAUGUAGAUAAAAAAAUCUGCAGGAAUAACGUUUCAAUUAUGACAGAAGCUCAAAACAAAUGACUGUGAAUGAAAAGCCCUAUUAAAAGCUUUCCAGAAGAUCCUGCGAAGAAGACAUGAAGUAUAGAUCAGAUUUGUUAAUAGAGGAGUAUGUUCAAAACACUUUUUAGAAAAAGAUAUUGACAGAACUUCACUUUCAUCUGUUCGUUUGAGAGACUGUGCUGUUCCAAUAGCUUAUGUCACACAGAAUCAGCUGAGAGAAGUGGUCUACAAAAAACCAGAAAGGAAACGGAAUAUGUGGCUACGAAAAGCAAAAGAAAGGUUUACAAAGCAAAUGUGACACAUUUUUUUAUAAUAUUUAGGAAUGUCAGCAAAUUACAUUAAAAAAUGUAUGUAAAGAUUUUUUGCAAUAAAAAUG